rnacentral:rRNA from 1 species
CGGUAAUACAUAGGGGGCAAGCGUUAUCCGGAAUUACUGGGCGUAAAGAGUGAGUAGGCGGAUAUUAAAGUCAGAGGUAAAAUAUAGGGGCUCAACCCCUACCAGCCUUUGAAACUUAAUAUCUUGAGUAUAGGAGAGGAAAGUGGAAUUCCAAGUGUAGAGGUGAAAUUCGUAGAUAUUUGGAAGAAUACCAGUGGCGAAGGCGACUUUCUGGACUAAAACUGACGCUGAUGCACGAAAGCAUGGGUAGCAAACAGGAUUAGAUACCCUGGUAGUCCAUGCCGUAAACGAUGAGCACUAGGUGUCGGGUGUAAAGCUCGGUGCCGGCGUAAACACAAUAAGUGCUCCGCCUGGGGAGUACGUUCGCAAGANUAAACUCAAAGGAAUUGACNGGGACCCNCACAGUAGCGGACAUGUGGUUUAUUCG